GGGCUAUUAACUCAGUUGGUUAGAGUAUACCCCUGAUAAGGGUAAAGUCGCUGAUUCAAAUUCAGCAUAGCCCU
rnacentral:tRNA from 1 species